GCUUUUCCUGCUGAGAAGAAGGAGGAGCUUCGGUCCCUUGGAGCUCAAAUGGCAUACAACACCGUGGAUCCUAAGCAUGGGUUUGACUGUAUAAAAUACAUUGUUCAGCAGCAUCCUUAUAGCUUUACUGCCUGGAACUGCUACUAUAAAGUAACCUCCAGAUUGGGAAAAAGCCAUUCUCAGCAUUCUAAGUUUCUUCGUUCCAUGAGAGUUAAACACAAAGGUUGUGUCCCCUCCAUUGUCAUUUCUGGCCAUCAGUUUACUAUGAUCAGCCAUCAUCAAAGAUGCUGCAAGAGAAUACCUUGAAGCAUAUAAACUGUUGCCUAAUGAUCCCUUAAUUAAUCUAUGUGUUGGAACUUCAUUAAUCAACUUGGCCCUUGGUUUUAGGCUUCAAAACAAGCACCAGUGUCUUGUACAAGGUUUAGCAUUCCUCUACAACAAUUUGCAGCUUUGUGAAAAUAACCAGGAGGCACUAUAUAACAUAGCUCGAGCUUUUCAGCAUGUUGGACUCGUAUCUCUGGCUGCAUCAUACUAUGAAAAGGUUCUUGCAACAAGGGUGAGGGAUUAUCCUAUCCCAAAACUCCCUAAUGAAAAUCUGGACACGCUGGAGAAUAAGAAGCCUGGGUAUUGUGAUCUGCGCAGAGAAGCAGCUUUCAAUUUGCACUUAAUCUAUAAACAAAGCGGAGCAAUACAUCUUGCUAGGCAGGUGUUGAUAGAUCAUUGCAAUAUAUAAUUCUGGCAAGCAAUCCUAGAAAGCAAACCCAGACCUUGGCUCAGCACUAGUGCAAUUUCAAUGGCAAGUUAAAGGUAAAAAGGAGGUGGUUUCUAAUGGUGAAUAAUAUUGCAUGAUGAGUUCUCUUUCAUGUUUAUGAAAAUUAUUCAUGAAUGUUUUGCCAAUACAUAUAGUUACAGUCCCAAUCACAUAAAUAAAAACUGAGAAAUUUCAGAAGAUAUUAAGAGAUGUCAUGUUUCUACUCAGAAUUUAAUAUAAAUUAGAAUUUAUUAAUAAAAUCUAUGAGAUAAGAUUUUUAUCAUGUUAUCAAUAAAAAUGUAGCACGGCAUAUGUAUCAACUUCUUAUACGAAAUAUGUUAACAGUGGUGCA